rnacentral:rRNA from 1 species
CCCUUAGAUGUUCUGGGCCGCACGCGCGCUACACUGUUCGACGCAGCGAGUCUUAACCUUGACCGAAAGGUUUGGGUAAUCUUCAGCAAAGUCGAACGUGAUGGGGAUCGAUCAUUGCAAUUAUUGAUCGUGAACGAGGAAUUCCUAGUAAGUGCAAGUCAUCGGCUUACGCUGAUUACGUCCCUGCCCUUUGUACACACCGCCCGUCGCUACUACCGAUUGAAUGGUUUAGUGAGAUCUCUGGAUUGACGCUGGCUAGGGGGCGACCCUUGGCCAGACUGCUCGAGAAACUGCUCACACUUGAUCAUUUAGAGGAAGUAAAAGUCGUAACA